rnacentral:lncRNA from 1 species
AAUGUGCUAGGGAGAUGAGGAGGUAGAUAAGAGGCCAGGGCCUGAAAUAUCAAAUGGGUGGGGAAGAAGGUUGCCCGAGACAUUACACUAGCGUAAGAGGUGGAGGUGGAGACGUUACGCUACCGCUAAGAGGUGGCGGUGGAGGCGCUACGCUGGCGUAAGAGGUGGCGGUGGAGGCGCUACGCUGGCGUAAGAGGUGGCGGUGGAGGCGCUACGCUGGCGUAAGAGGUGGCGGUGGAGGCGCUACGCUGGCGUAAGAGGUGGAGGUGGAGACGUUACGCUGGCGUAAGAGGUGGAGGUGGAGCGUCCUUACUGCGCAGGGUGUGGAGGGAAUGGCGUGGGCUCAGCUGGCUUUGUCAUCGGACACGCCGCAGGCUCAGUUUCUGCCUCUGUUUCCCACUAAGCUGUUUAGCACAGAAGAAGUUAUUUAACCACAUCUUUG